UGCUACAAUGGGUAGUACAGAGGGUUGCCAAGCCGUAAGGUGGAGCUAAUCCCUUAAAGCUACUCUCAGUUCGGAUUGUAGGCUGAAACUCGCCUACAUGAAGCUGGAGUUACUAGUAAUCGCAGAUUAGAAUGCUGCGGUGAAUGCGUUCCCGGGUCUUGUACACACCGCCCGUCACACCACGGGAGUUGGAGACGCCCGAAGCCGAUUAUCUAACCUUUUGGAAGAAGUCGUCGAAGGUGGAAUCAAUAACUGGGGUGAAGUCGUAACAAGGUAGCCGUAUCGGAAGGUGCGGCUGGAUCACCUCCUUU
rnacentral:rRNA from 1 species